rnacentral:lncRNA from 1 species
AGAAAUCCAGAUGACAAAUCUAUAGCGUUCAUUCAGUCAUUUUCAUUGACAUCCGUCACAAUCCAUCAGCUUAUGCCUAUGCAUGUACGGCUUGCCCGCCUUGUUGGCCGAUCUCUGUGUAAGAGAAUGGAAAACUCAAGAACUCAAUAAUAAAUGAUUGUGGUGCCCAAUUUUGUCGAACAUAUUGCCAAGUCAUAAUGGAGAUGUUUCUCUGCCACAUCCCCACACAAUUGCAUUGGACAAGUCACCCUCAAUAAUAAAUGUGACCACCAUGUUUCUUAACCUGAGGCCUUGUAGUGAUGAUCCUGCUUCUGCCUCACAGUAAAGUAAAAUGGUCCUUGCUAAGAUGUCUCGUUUAAUCAACCAAUCCCAGCAGUGCCAGGGUUGCCCCUGGAGCUGCUAUCCAUGUUGAGAUUGAGGGUGUUCAGUGCGAGGUUUAAAUCCAUUUACUAGAUUCUGCACUCUCCUGUGUGACCAAUCCUAAUAAUGCCUUCAAUGGGCCCAUAAUUCACUUAUGCUGUAACGAUUAGGAAUUCCCUCAAAACCUUUGCCCAUGAAAUGAUAUGGUUGUAAGCAUUCCUUUUUAACUCUUCAAAUCAAACCUUUUAUCAUUGAAAGCCCUUUUCUUUCCCACCGGAAUAACGAAGAUGUUGAGUCUCCAAAGUGUUGAACCAAACCUAGCCCACUGUUUAUUUCCCACCAUACAAUCUACUGAAAUAGCAAAGGUAUUGAGUCUGCAGGCGACCUAGGGGAGAGAUGGCAAGUCCAUUGGUCUAUCAUAUCGCGAAAUGAUGGCAGCAGGACCCACUCCAGGCUGAAUAUACCUCAACUGGAGGAGCAAAGAGAAGUAGCAAUAUGACAAUGUAAGAGUCAUCUCACUACACAUAGGGCAGAUGCUUGAAACAUUCAGACCUUUGAGUUAGAGGUGAUCUAUAGUUAGGAUUUCAUCACUUGAGGCCAGCCACAUGAAAGCCAGGUUCUUGGGUGGUGCCGUCACAGCACAUGCAGUGCUCACCACCGAGAUGAGGUUGUCAAUGCUGGUAAAGAGCCUAUACAUAAAUCACACUGAUAAAUUCCUUUUUCCGUCAGGUUCGCGAAUGACUAUCUUCAUCAUCGGGGUAGUAGUAGAAGCCUUGAGAGGGUUCUGGAGUCUAAUGGGGGCCUCUCCUGAUCCUUAAGUCUUUGAUGUCAGAGUUUUAUGGUCCAAUUUGCAUUCAGGCCAUGGCCUUCCACAGCAUCUGCAACCUUGAUGUCUGGCUCCACAGCCACAACAAACAAUUUGGGAUAUUCUUGAUGAAAGGUCGUGCUCCAAGCCACUUAUCAUGCCAAAACCUGACUAGAUCCCCUCUUCCUACCUGGAAUCUCACAUUGCUCAAAAACGCCUGGUGGCAUCUAUUGACCCCUCCACGAAACCAGAGAGCCUAGAGCCCUAUUAUGGUUUUUGGCAAACAAUCCUAAGCCAUCUGCCCCAUGUUUCCCAGAAUGACUUCUCUUAGAAGGUGCUGCCUGUCCGUGGCACACCUCCACCAUCAUUUCGAAAUAAAGGCCUUAUUCAUGUCCCUUUUUCUUCUUUUCCCAGACUGCCAAAUUUCUCGGGCAUGCAACAAGUAGCCCAUUUGACAAGGCAAAACUGUGUUUGUCCCUGCCAUCUGUCCCUAGUAAUUUCUACAUUAGGUGUUUAAUAAUAUUGGCUACUUCCCCAGGAAUAAAAAAUAUCAUCAUAGAAAAGGUGGGCAAGUUUAGAGAAGGUUGACUUGAUAAAAGAAAUCAUACCUCCAAAUAUAUCCGACUAGUUUUUGAAACAUCCGACUUCUUUUGAACUCUAUCGACCCCUCACUCCCAAAAAGCUUCCACCAGCUUUCCUAUGGUCAUCACAAUCCAAGAUACCCACAAGGCAGCUUAUCAACCUCAUACCCAUUGCAACUGGCCACAGAUAUGACCUUGUCUGCUAGGGUUUCAACUCCAAUAAAACUUGAUUUUCUUCAUAUUCACUCAAAGACUAGAGGUGAUCUCAAAUAUCUAUAAGAAUAGAUACCAGUUUAGAACCCGGUCUGUCUUUAGUCCCCCCCAGAAAAAAUUUGUCUUCCAUUUAUUGCAGAUGAAAGAUGGGACGUUUGUCCUGAGAGUGCUUAAGAAUGUUACGAGAACUCUCUUAAAGACCAUCUCUAGAAUCUUGCUGAAUGUUUCAGCUACUAUAGAAAAUAGAAACGGGGAAAGCAGCUAUUACAGAACAUAGAAAUGGGGAAGGUAGAACCCUUAGAUGGAUGCCCCUUGUAGCCUUGUAGCCUUGAAGCUCUUGGGAAGUAUCAUUUAUUAGAACUGAAAGUGCAGCGAUUAGAAAAAAUCACUAGCCUAGUUGAGACACGCCUGAGUUGGCUCACACCAUAGUGGAUCCAUAAGAAAAUUCCUAAAAUUCGGGUGAGGCUAAAGAGCCUCAAAUCUCCCUUUGUUAUUUAUCCAUGGACUCAUCUAAGUAGGACCUCCAACUUUGGCGAUUACGUGGA